rnacentral:tRNA from 1 species
UCUAACGUGGCAGAUAAGUGCGGUGGAUUUAAGCUCCACAAAUAAAGCUUCAAACUUUCUUUAGAA